AAUUGGGCCAUUUAUUUGCCAUAUUUCAGCAGCCCAUUACAACUCUAUCAACAACCCACCAAUUCAAGCAACAAUUCCAAAGACCCAAAGGUGGGCCGACUUUUCCCAGUCCAUUUCUUUUAUUUUUUCAGCAGGCCCCUUUUGUUUUCCAAUUCGCCCAGCCCAUUUUUCCCACACAUUACAACAUUCCCAGCCCAAUCUUAACACAAACAAACCCAUCAACAAUACAUCAGCAGUAGCAAUACACCAAACAAACCAGACGACCCCACUGCCUCAUCUUCUUCACGCAACAACAACAAAAACCAGCGAACAAAUCGCGUUGCUAACCCAACGAAAUCGCGGAAAUUCAGCAGCAAAUCACGACCUCGAGCACAACGCCUACCUCUCCAUUAUCAAUCCGUUGAAAAUUGUUGAGAUGGGACAAUUGACAGCUUCAACCUUAUCUCUUAAGAGGGAGGUGAUUUUCGAAUUUCAAAAAUCCACCCGUUUCCCCCUAAAAAAUCACCUUAUUCUUCAUUUAUUUAAGCCGCUUGCAAAACUCAUCGGAAUCUCGUUGUGGUAGCGAAGUUGUCGUUCCUCUGCUCGUUCCUGUCCCGAUUCGCUGCCCGGAAAGAGGUAAAAAUCUUUCUCACGUUCUGUUUUGUUUGAUCUUUAGUUGUUGAGCUUUAUGUUUUCUCAAUUAUGUCUUGGUGUUUUCUUUAUGAUUGGAAUUGAGUGGAAUCUAUAAUGCUUAGCUGAAUUUCUUUUAGUUGAUUUUUUUACUGUUUGGUUGUUCUCCGAAGUAUGAAUGUAUAGUAUUUCGCUCCUUCUUUGGUCACUGUUAACCUUCCAUGGUUUUAUAAAUGUUGAACUUUUCCGUCCAUUCAGUUCAUCAUCUCGUUGUUCAUCAGAUUGUGUUCUUAAAGUCGGCUAAGCCUUGGCUUGGUAUGGCUUUGCUUUGUUUUCCAUUACUCCGAUUCGAUUUUUUUCUUUGGUUCAACCUAAGUUCAUGGAUUGUUGUUUAAUAUUAUAUUGUUUUGCAACCACUUGCUAAUGUUCAACUUUGGAUCAAUUAGCUUAAUUUUCUCUAGAUAUGAUUUAUGUCUUCCGUGUCUAGACUUUAAAGCUUAUAUACAUGUGUUUCCCCUGUUAGUGUCAAUCCAUGAGUUGUUUAGUAACCAA